CGGUGUAGAGAUACUGAGAUAAAGAUGUAGGUGGUUGUUAGAGAAUAACUUGCACUGAGCGUGACCAAUAUGAGAACCACAUAAAUACCUACUCACUCGUCAGUGAUCUUCUCGAUGCUGCAGUGGUGUGAGUGGUCCUUUGAUAUGCGGUGCUAUUGGCUAUUCGUAGUGAGGCUACUGGAUUUGACUGCACAUUCUCUUGGUUCUUAGCCAUUCGAAUUCUUACUAUGUGUGUUGGCUUCAAUAAGUUCAGGUCUGCUAUUUGAAGUAGGAUACACCUAG
rnacentral:lncRNA from 1 species